ACAGCCUGGAGAUGCCAGACAAAGGGAUGAUUCACGGUCGGAAAGCAAAGGCCAGGUUUUCGGGUAAACCACCUGAGUGGAAAACUGGGCUGGUGCAAGGCAGUUUUCCAACGUGCUGUGCCCUGCGGCAGGGUAGUUUUCAAUAAAUGUAAGUAGAGAAUAUUUAAAUAGCACCCAAUUCACUUUUUAUUCUCAUAAAAAGGGAGGGAUGAAAGAGAUGGAAAUGCAGAUAUGGUUCCAUAAAAAGCCACAGCUGAGCCAACAGCAGUGAGGAAACCCACGGAGGUUACCUGAAGUAUGUAUUAC
rnacentral:lncRNA from 1 species